CUACACCACAGCCAUAGCAAUGCCAGAUCUGAGCCACAUCUGCAACCUACACCACAAAUCAUAGCAAUGCUGCAUCCUUGACCACUGAGUGAGGCCAGGGAUCAAACCCACAUCCUCAUGGAUACUGGUUGUGUUCGUAAUUGGCUGAGCCACAACAGGAACUCCAGCACAAACUCUUUAGCACAAGGAUUCUACUGUGAUUUUAUCUGUGAAUCAAAUGUAAAAGCAUAACAAGAUACACAAAUAUUGGUUGGAACUUGGUCUGUAAUGACAAAAAAUAAAAACCCCUGAAUGUUUACAGUAGAGCAUGGUUGAAAUAAGUUAAAUUCACAGAGUGGAACACUAUGCAGUACUGAAAACAAGGAGAAGAUGUGCAUCUCCAACAUAUGCAUGCUUAAGUGUAAAAAUGCAACGUAUAGAACGAGAGCUAGGGUCUGAGCCCAUGUGGGCUAUGUGUAUGUAUUAUGUAUAUCUGUACACAUGCAUACAGGAUUUGAGUUUUUUAGCUUUCUUUCUUUUGUUUUGUUUUGUUUGUUGAUUCCUAUACAGAUAUAAAAGAAAAUAUAAACAGUGGUCAUACCUUUCUGAAAAGAUUAGGGGUUUAGCAUAUGUAUAUGUGGGUACAGUAGAGAAUUUACUUCUUAUGUUAAUACUGAUCUUUCUUAACCAGGUUUCUGUAUAUUGAAAAAUAUAAAUGAAUAUUUCAAAAAUUCUACAAGGCAAUACAUAGAAAAUAAUAGUCUAGAAUGAUGUUCAUUGACACAUAUUAAUAUCAGCUUCUAAUAAUUAUGACAUAGCCAAGAAAUUACAAUCUCAGAAGCAGAUGUUUAGAAAGCACUCAAUUGUUCACUAGUUUGAUGUUUUAUGUGCUUAAUCUGCCAAUGCUAUUUUGCUUGGCUGGCUGGAAAUGUGACAUUAAAAGCAGAAGGGUAAUAUAGAAAGGAAAGGAUGUCACUUAUAAUUCCAGCAAAAUUCAAACAUGAUUUUAGAGACUGAACCUCUUUCCACAGUGAAGGCAGCCACAGGUGUGAUCCUGCUAAGUGUGUUAAACCAUCAAACUUAACUAAUGAAAAGGGACACUGUAACCAGCAAUGAGCUUCAAACGGACGUGCAAUGUGGAACUCAUCCUGCGUGCACACAUUUCCAACCACCUUCUGUGAACAGCCUUUAAAACAAUUAAAUGUUCUAAACACUUCAGACCUUAGGUGAGUAAGAGAGCCUUUUGAAAUAUCACUUUCUUACUAUUGAUCAAACAAGCUCAUUUGCAUGGACAUGUUAUUAAAUACCAGGAACAUCAUUCAAGAGAUGUUUUCAAAAACCCAACCAUGCAGGGCACCAAGCUCAAACAGCACCUGUGCAGUAAGUGCUGAGCACCCCUGGGGUUCACAAAAGAGACAAGCCCAGUGUGGGAUGGAAAUAAUGGUAAAAGCACCGGCAUUAAGUUGGAAACCCAGUUGGGCUAGAGGAGAAAACUGGGAUUUGUGCCAAUACAGACAAGACAAAAGGUAAAAUAUUCAUGUUGUAGGGCAAGAUAACAAGUACUAAGAUGGGGGAACAGAAAUUUUAGCAGCUUAAAGGGAAAUGAUACUGAGAAAAGGUAGAAAAUAUAUUUGGAUAGGAGAAGUGGCCUCAAAUGACACUAAACUAUUUUUAAAUGUGCAGCAGAUAACAUUGAUUAACUACAAUAUAUUAGUAGAUAAGAUGUGUCUAGCUUUUUCCCUGGGACAAUGGUCCUCAAACAUGAAUGUGUGUCAGAAUACCCUGGAGGGUUCGGUAAAAUGCAGAGUCCCCACUCCACAACCCCAACCCCCAGAGCAUCUGACUCAGCAGGUCUGGAGUGGGACCAAAGAAUCUGCAUUUCUAACAAACUCCCAGGGGAUCCUGACACUGCUGGUCCAGAGAUCACAAUGAAAGAGCCCCUCUGCAAGAAUAACUCUGAACCUGUCAAAUACCCUAUCCUCAUCAAAGGAACAUCCUAUCCCCUCAGAGGACACGACACAGCAAACCCGAAAAUGCUGGGAAGAAUGACAUCCUCACAUACUCCAGACAGGUCCAGGCCUUCCCAAGUCUGGUCCAUGCAGCUGCUUAGACAGCAAUCCUCUGGGAUACAGUUAGCACCCUCAACACUGGUCUAGGAGAUGAACCAGUCUGGACCUAAGGGGGAACAGGCCCUCAGCCCCACUUUAACCACCCAAUUCCCAGCAGGGCUGAUGCUGAGGAAGCAGUUGGGCAACCUGACAUAGAUCUAUACUGAACACCUCAAAACCUACCUCAGACUAUAUCAUCACUGGUCAUUGUCCACUUAAUGCCUAGAGGCCAUCAAACCACAGCAUCCUGGCAACAAACUAAUGUGACACUGCGGCACUUCACCAACUGUGUAAUGUGUGAAUGCAUAACCAAAUUCACAUGAAGAUCCCAAAAUCCACACCCAAAUAAAUGACGGGAGCCCAUGAGAACACUCUAAUGGCCUCCCAUCCCCAUAACCAUCACCAUGGAGGUCUCCAAGUCAUUCUGCCCACCUUGACAUGUGUAGGAAUACAAGGAAAAGUCAUAAGGAAAAAGGCCAGGUACCUAGAGGCAUGAUGCAUUGUAUACCCUCCAGCUGUCAAGAUGUUACUGUGCAGUAUUUCUUAGAUGUAAGUAACGUUUAAUGAGUAAAAUCUGAGAAAAGCAGGUUAUUCUCCAUCAUGAGGUCCAUCCAAUGAACUUCCCCCAAAGGACAGGGAGUCUGCCUCCAGAUGACCUUUGGUCUCAAGACUCAAGUCCUUUCUGGCUCUCCAGCCUGCCAACCCAUCCUGUAGAUUUCAGGCUGGUCAGCCCCCAUGACUGCAUGAGUCAAUUCCUUAAAGUAAUUCUCUCUCUACCUAAAUACAUAUACACAUGUAAUUCAUCAUCAUCAAGUAGGGACAGAGAUUGGGACAGAGCUGUCAACUACUCCUAUUGGUUCUGUUCCUCUUGAGAACCCUGACAGUUCACAACCUCUGUCCCUAACUUGAAAAUUAUCCAUUAUCUCCACCUUUGUAAAAGAAAAGGCCUCCUUUCACCUUUAAAAUGAAGAUUACUUUUUUAAAUGUACUGGAUUGGGCGAGAGGGAGUGGGAUGGACCAGGAGGGAGUUUGGGGGUCAGUAGAUACAAAUGAUUACAUUUAGGAUGGAUAAGCAAUGAGGUACUAUUGAACAGCACAGGGAAUUAUAGCCAAUCUCUUGGGAUAGAACAUGAUGGAAGAUAAUUUGAGAAAAAUAAUGUGUGUGUGUGUCUAUUGCAUAGACUGAGUCACUUUGCUGUACAGCAGAAAUUGACACAACACUGUAAAUCAAUUUUAAUAAAAAAUUUUUAAAGUACUGGACUUAAUAACACAUAUAUUUUAUUCCAGUCUACCUAAAAUUCAAUCAGAAGCCACUAGUUUCAAGUGACUAAAAAAAGAACCUCUGCUGCCCUUGCAGGAGCGAUGCCCCCACACUGUGAACCCCCGCGAGCACAAACUACAAGGGCUGAGGAUCUGCAUCUUACCAGGCAGCCUUCCAGAUUCAGUGCUCUUUGGAAUCCAUACUCAGCUUCCUCUUCCUUUUGGGCUGUUUCACUGCCACAUCAGCAUUCUUCAGCAGUGUUUUUCUGCAACACAGUGCCACAUAAGAAGUUGAGGAAAUUAUAAAACCAAACAAAAAUAACCAUGAUUUCAGUUAUACUUCCUAUAAUUGUUUGCCAUAAAUACUUUGCUAAAUGAGCUGACAAAAAAUUUUCACUGUUGAUUUGAGAGCUCCUAGUAUAAUAAUAAAUUAACAGGGAAGAAAGGGAGAUGAGCUUUCCACCUCAUCUAGAAUUUCUAUCACAAAAAAAAAAAAAAAACAGGUAUUACGAAAUGUUUGAGUUUUAUCUUAGCCGACCUAAGGGAUUAGGAUUCCCUGCAACUUCUGCAUCCAGCUCUGUACUAGCAUGGUCUGACUCCACAGGUGUCAUGACACAUGCACAGCACAGCAACCGGUCACACAGCACUAGGUAAGAGGUCCCAGUCACACACAGCACAGGACAGCAACCUGCUACAGAGCAAAGAAGAAAACUUUUCACAACUCAACUUACUAUGACCAUUCUUUGGUACAUUAAAAAGUAGUAGUAGACAUUUGUAAUAAAUUAUUUGGAAUUAGUUUUUUAUUUAUUUAUUUUUUAUUUUCCCACUGUACAGCAAGGGGGUCAGGUUAUCCUUACAUGUAUACAUUACAAUUACAUUUUUUCCCCCACCCUUUCUUCUGUUGCAAUAUGAGUAUCUAGACAACAGUCACACCUGUAGCAUAUGGAAGUCCCCAGGCCAAAGACAGAAUCCGAGCCACAGCUAUGACCUACACCUCAGAAAUGCCAGAUUCUUUAACCCACUGCACCCAGCUGGGGAUUGAACCUACACCUCUGCAGAGACUCCAGCUGAAGCAGUUGGAUUCCUGUCUCACUGUACCACAGUGGGAACUCCUGGAAUUAGUUUUUUGAUAGAGCAGGUUAACCAUUCUGGAGAACUAACCAGUAGUAUUAUACGAAUCCCACUAGAGAUAUAAUUCAAAAGGUAAUUCACUUUGAAUAAUUUUAACUACAGUUUACAAGUAAUUUUUUAAAAGUUUAAUGGAUCCAAAUCACCUACACUCCCCAGAGUUUUAGAAUCAUAUAUCCAGCUUAUGCAACAUUUCCACCCCAAAUACUCCAAAUGUAACAUAUUCAUCACUGAGCUCAUCAUUGCCCCUCUCAUCACCUCCCAGUUGCACACUCUUCCCAACUGCACUAAUGAUAUGAGUUGCCAACCACUUGUCCACAUCUGCCCCUUGCAGUUGCUCAGACUGUGCACUGCACAAGAACAUCAAGCCAAACUGAAGCCAUUUGGCUACAGGGGAUUUUCUCCCCACUGUCAAAGUGAUCUGUCUUUGCUAAUACCCAGUAACGAUCUCAGUAACUCCAGUUUGUUUAAAAAAAAAUCAAGCCUAAGGGCUCUGCGCACACCAUUCCUCCUGCCACAGGGGUUUCCAUCUGCAGAGAAGAAAAUAUAUCUUUUCCUAAUUCAAAGAAAAGACACCUCUGGGCUGACAGCAGCCUGCCGUGACUUGGCCUAGGCCAGAGACUGAGGAGUUAGCACCCUUCGUCCUUUCCUUCCCACCCCACACUCUCACCAGGUUUUGCUGGUUUUUAGUCUAUUCAGCAUGUCUUAGAUUCAUUCUUCUACUCCUACUAACCCUGACCCGUGCCUCCAACCUCAUGCGCCAUCCACACCCAGGUCUUGGCUCUCUGGAGAAAGACGUGCCCCACACUUUUGCUGGUCCUCAGCCUCAGAACUGCCCUUCCUUCGUCACCCUCUCUAAUUCAUACUCAUACUGCAUGACUUAACUGGAAGACUUAGCAUCACUGAGGAAAGCCUUCCUUGCUCACCUCUUGCUCCCUAAGGAGCACCUGUGUCUUGCCUAAAGUGUGCUUGCCUCCACUAUGGCACUCAACAGUUUAGACACUUUAUGCUUUCCCUUUGCAGACAUUCCCCCUUACGAGGCUGAAAGCAUCCUGAUAACCAGCCCUGGGGAGGACUGAUCCCUGUUCUCCACUGUCUCCUCGGUGCCCCGAUCCCCAAAGACUCUGCACAUGUGUCCGCUGCCCUAAACCGUAAGCACAUCUCUGAAUUACAGAGAAGACUCAAGUUCAGGGGUAUGGUUCUCGAUCCACACAAUCCUUUCAGAAUGCUGUUUGUCUGGGGCAAGCAUGUCCUCAAAUUCAGUACCUCCUUGCCCUUCCUCCUUCCCAUACAAAGAAAAAACCCAAACGAACAAUCCAAAAACACUUCCUCAUAC
rnacentral:lncRNA from 1 species